GGAUAGCCAUGCGAGUUAACGUAGCAAUACGUGGCAUACGGCUCAGUAACACGUAGUCAACAUGCCCAGGGGACGUGGAUAACCUCGGGAAACUGAGGAUAAACCGCGAUAGGCCAAGAUUUCUGGAAUGAAUCAUGGUUUAAAUCUAUAUGGCCCCUGGAUUGGACUGCGGCCGAUCAGGCUGUUGGUGAGGUAAUGGCCCACCAAACCUGUAACCGGUACGGGCUCUGAGAGGAGGAGCCCGGAGAUGGGCACUUAGACAAGGGCCCAGGCCCUAUGGGGCGCAGCAGGCGCGAAACCUCUGCAAUAAGCGAAAGCUUGACAGGGUUACUCUGAGUGAUUUCCGCUAAGGAAGUCUUUUGGCACCUCUAAAAAUGGUGCAGAAUAAGGGGUGGGCAAGUCUGGUGUCAGCCGCCGCGGUAAUACCAGCACCCCGAGUGGUCGGGACGAUUAUUGGGCCUAAAGCAUCCGUAGCCGGUCCUGCAAGUCCUCCGUUAAAUCCACCCGCUCAACGGUUGGGCCGCGGGGGAUACUACAGGGCUAGGAGGCGGGAGAGGCAAGCGGUACUCGAUGGGUAGGGGUAAAAUCCACUGAUCCAUUGAAGACCACCAGUGGCGAAGGCGGCUUGCCAGAACGCGCUCGACGGUGAGGGAUGAAAGCUGGGGGAGCAAACCGGAUUAGAUACCCGGGUAGUCCCAGCUGUAAACGAUGCAGACUCGGUGAUGGGCUGGCUUCGUGCCAACCCGGUGCCGCAGGGAAGCCGUUAAGUCUGCCGCCUGGGGAGUACGGUCGCAAGACUGAAACUUAAAGGAAUUGGCGGGGGAGCAUCACAAGGGGUGAAGCCUGCGGUUC
rnacentral:rRNA from 1 species